rnacentral:rRNA from 1 species
GUUAACGCUGGCGGUAGGCCUAACCCCUGCAAGUCGCACGGCAGCACAGUAAGAGCUUGCUCUUACGGGUGGCGAGUGGCGGACGGGUGAGGAAUACAUCGGAAUCUACUUUUUCGUGGGGGAUAACGUAGGGAAACUUACGCUAAUACCGCAUACGACCUACGGGUGAAAGCAGGGGAUCUUCGGACCUUGCGCGAUUGAAUGAGCCGAUGUCGGAUUAGCUAGUUGGCGGGGUAAAGGCCCACCAAGGCGACGAUCCGUAGCUGGUCUGAGAGGAUGAUCAGCCACACUGGAACUGAGACACGGUCCAGACUCCUGAGGGAGGCAGCAGUGGGGAAUAUUGGACAAUGGGCGCAAGCCUGAUCCAGCCAUACCGCGUGGGUGAAGAAGGCCUUCGGGUUGUAAAGCCCUUUUGUUGGGAAAGAAAAGCAGCAGGUUAAUACCCCGCUGUUCUGACGGUACCCAAAGAAUAAGCACCGGCUAACUUCGUG